rnacentral:rRNA from 1 species
GGGGGCCCGCAAGCGGUGGAGCAUGUGGUUUAAUUCGAUGCAACGCGAAGAACCUUACCUACUCUUGACAUCCAGAGAACGUGGCAGAGAUGCUGUGGUGCCUUCGGGAACUCUGAGACAGGUGCUGCAUGGCUGUCGUCAGCUCGUGUUGUGAAAUGUUGGGUUAAGUCCCGCAACGAGCGCAACCCUUAUCCUUUGUUGCCAGCGCGUAACGGCGGGAACUCAAAGGAGACUGCCGGUGAUAAACCGGAGGAAGGUGGGGAUGACGUCAAGUCAUCAUGGCCCUUACGAGUAGGGCUACACACGUGCUACAAUGGCGUAUACAAACAGAAGCGACCUCGCGAGAGCAAGCGGACCUCAUAAAGUACGUCGUAGUCCGGAUUGGAGUCUGCAACUCGACUCCAUAAAGUCGGAAUCGCUAGUAAUCGUAGAUCAGAAUGCUACGGUGAAUACGUUCCCGGGCCUUGUACACACC